AUGCCGUGAUACUCCAGCCCCCCGCAAU
rnacentral:sRNA from 1 species